ensembl:lncRNA
CCUACAUUUGUGAAAGGAGGCUGAUCCGGGAUGAUGCGAUCCAAUGGCAGAUCAGCCAUCUUUUGCUCUCCAGUCCUACUGUUCAGCCGUCUGCAGACUGUGCAUCUUGAAAUGAUACCUCUGAUCAAUGAGCUUGCUUGAGGUAUCCAAUACUUUGUGCGCAGCUUAGAUAACAUAUAGUUGCGCCCACAAUGUCCAAUUUGUUUAUGGAUAUGUUGCAGGAUAAGAGCAGCCACUGGUGACCCUUUGGAAAGAAUUGCAGGGUGCUUUGUCUCCUCUGGCAAUGACAACCUAGAGAGUCGUCCACCCACUCUUACGAUUCCAUCCUUCAGCAAGGGAUCCAAUUUGUAGAUUGGGCUGUUCUUCUUCACAUAUCCCUUUGUUUGAAGAGCCAUGAUUUCCUCUGGGUAAGUCUGAAUCUGGCAAACCCGUAUGAUUUCUCUAGUGUAGCCUUUUCAGUAGGCUUUGGCUCCCUCUUGUGGCUAACAUCAUCGGGUGUCGGUACACUUCCAGAAAGUUCUGCCAUCUUCAUUAAUCAAUGCAAAUUCACUAACAAAUGUCUCCAAAAUAGUCUUCCGACAGCAAAUGUUAAUGUCUCAAUGGUUUCUUCAAAUCGCAAUGAUUAUCAAGAAUUAGAUGAUUCCAAACUUCAGUAUGUUAACCAAACACUUCGAUUUUGCUGUAUGACUCAGCACUUCCAGUAGCAAUAACCAGUCAUGUUAGCUAGCACAGGAUAGCAAUAACCGCUAAUGCUAACGUUAGCACAGGAUAGCUUCAGCUUUAGCUCACCUUUUCCAACUUCUUUUCAAACCUUGAAGCUGAUUUCCACUUUCACUCUUCGAGCUAUCUUAUUCUUGCUCCAAAUCUGGGUUUUCUGUUUGUCUUCUUCCAGUGAAGCAAGUUUUUCUGACUUUAUGUAAGUGGCACUCUGUCUUAGUUCCAUAUGCCACUAAUGGAGCAGGCUUCUAGCAACCAGUGUGAACGCGACAAAAAAUCCAAACUUCCAAAAUUCUUCCUUUUAAAUUUUUACUGACAAAAACGUAACGUACAAACAAAACAUGAACUCUUUGGGUCUUAAUAACAGUAAAUCGGUGCAUUGGUAUUGUCGGUCAGAAAAACUGUGUUGCUCCUUAACCUGACCAUCUCAAACUAAACAAGCACAAGUUGGUCACAUGACCACCGUUCUCUCCUGAUUCUAAACAUUCUUUUAACCAAUCAAGGUACUUUACAGCUAUG